AACUGAUUUAGUACCUUGUAAACCUGAAUUGUGUUUACAGAACCCAGACUCUGGAAACUCCAAUGUCGACAUUAUUUCAAGAAGUUCCUAAACUUUUGCAAGUUGUUUUUCUAUCUUCCUGCAGAGUUGCUGACAUUGUUGGACUCCAACUCCCAUUAGCUUCAGCCAGCUUGGCCAGUGGUCAGGGAUGAUGGGAAUUGUAGUCUGAAAACAGCUGGAGACCCAAGUUUGGGAAACACUGAGCUAAAGCUAUCCUGCCAGGAGGUCCAAUCUUCAGUAAGCACCUAGAGGUGAUUCCUCAUGAGAAGAUCCAAUAGUGGGACUCAAGCCUCUUGCUUAAAAAUCAGUGCUUUCUAGGAAACAGGUCUAUGGCUGGAGAUGAGGCCAGGAAGCCUCUCCACCCAUCAGGCUGUUUUACAACUCACAUCAGGGAGCCUCAUCCUGAGUCUGACCAUUGUUAACACUGAUUGGCAGUGACUGUCCACUCCACGGUUAAUAGGAAGCUGCUCUAUGUACCCCCAUGGCUGCAGCAGAUUCUCCCUACCAGUUAGGAUCUCAAGGUCAGAUACCCGGACUUUUCUGACAAGUAACCUGUGCCCCGGCAAAGAAUUCUGGGGAACAUUCUGUAGCACACACACGGUUCUUACUGAAUGUUGUUCCAUUGCUAAAAGAUGUACAAGAGACACUUGAUCUGGAGAGAUUAAAAUGAACAGUGUGAAGUAUUUUAUAAACUUACCUGUUACCUAACUGGAACGUAUUAACAUGCAUGGAAUGUCUGUGGGAGAAGGAAAGAGAUUUCUUUGUUAAAUUUACUUUCAAAACUGCAAAAAUAAAGUCUUUUUUGUGGGCAAAA